rnacentral:rRNA from 1 species
AUUGAACGCUGGCGGCAGGCCUAACACAUGCAAGUCGAACGAGUGGCGGACGGGUGAGUAAUGUCUGGGAAACUGCCUGAUGGAGGGGGAUAACUACUGGAAACGGUAGCUAAUACCGCAUACCAUCGGAUGUGCCCAGUGGGGAUUAGCUAGUUGGUGGGGUAAAGGCUCACCAAGGCGACGAUCCCUAGCUGGUCUGAGAGGAUGACCAGCCACACUGGAACUGAGACACGGUCCAGACUCCUACGGGAGGCAGCAGUGGGGAAUAUUGCGCAAUGGGCGCAAGCCUGAUGCAGCCAUGCCGCGUGAAUGAAGAAGGCCUUCGGGUUGUAAAGUACUUUCAGCAGGGAGGCGUUACCCGCAGAAGAAGCACCGGCUAACUCCGUGCCAGCCGCCGCGGUAAUUC